GUGUCACUAUACCCCACUCCCUCUAACAUGUAAACUCACUGAGCAGGCCCUCAAUCCCUCUGUUACUGUGUCACUAUACCCCACUCCCUCUAGCAUGUAAACUCACUGAGCAGGCCCUCAAUCCCUCUGUUGCUGUGUCACUAUACCCCGCUCCCUCUAACAUGUAAACUCACUGAGCAGGCCCUCAAUCCCUCUGUUACUGUGUCACUAUACCCCACUCCCUCUAACAUGUAAACUUACUGAGC